GUUCUCUGAUCGGGUGUCAAGGUACUGAUCGGGUGUCAAGAAGAUGCAGGGCUGGGACUGGGCCGGUCCUGUCUCCUCAGAUUCUGGUCUGGUGUCAAGAUCCAGGACUGGAGUUGCUGCUGGUCCUACCUCCUUAGCAUCUGAGUUAGAGUCACUACUGUGAUAAAGGACUGUGUGGAUCUGGGCCAUGACACUUUGGACCCUUCUUCCUACAGGAAAAAGAUGCAAGGAUCCUAUAUAUAUUCUCUCUCAUGGACAGGAAAGCAGUGAAGAAGGAGGAGGUCUCUAUUGGAAUUCUCCUGCUGCUGCUUCUGUGCCCUUCUCACCAUGGGCCAUGUCUUUAAAUAGCCCUCGACAGGCUUCACAGAUCUCACAAGAGGACAAAAUCCAGUCGCAUGGGAUUUGAACUUCGGUGAAAUCUCAGCCCGGUUUUCAGACUUCCUGAGCCUCUCCCUGGCCUUCACCCAUCACUGCCCUAUCUUUGCACGACCAGGCCUCUGACAUCAGCAAGGAAAGCUUUCUCUUCUGUGACAUCUGCAGGUCUCAUCCAGCAGGCAGAGAAAACAGCGGCGAUGGGAGGGAGGGAGGAAGAAGAAGGCAGUGUGCAGGUGAGAAAACUACUGUGGCGGACAGGCAGCGGAGAGGGCAAUGUGGCCUCUCUGGCUGGCCUGCCAGCCAAAAGGAAGGAUGGCCAGCUGCCAGGUGGAAGGAGGUGGCUGGCCAGCCAGUAGGCUGGCGAAACCAGCAGGCGGGAGGCAGAGAGGGCGGCACACUCCCUCUCCAGCUCGCCUGCCAGCCAAAAGGAAAGAUGACCCAGCCACCAGGUGGAAGAAGGUGGCAACUGGCCGGCGGGCGAAACUGGCGGAGAGGGUGGCGCACUCCCUCUCUGCCAGCUGAAAAGAAGGAUGGCCCGGCCGGUGGGUGGAAGAAGGUGGUGGCCGGCGGAAGAAGAGAAGGCACUUCCUCUCUGGCCCACCUGCUGGCCAAAAGGAAGGAUGGCCCGACGGCAGGAGCAUUGAGGGU